GACGAACGCUGGCGGCGUGCUUAACACAUGCAAGUCGAACGGGCCUUGUCCCCUUUUUUUUUGGGGGUGGGGUUAGUGGCGAACGGGUGAGUAACACGUGAGUAACCUGCCCCUCACUUCUGGAUAACCGCUUGAAAGGGUGGCUAAUACGGGGUGUUCUGGCCUGCUCGCAUGGGUGGGUUUGGAAAGAUUCGACCGGUUUUGGUUGUUUUGGUGGGGGAUGGGCUCGCGGCCUAUCAGCUUGUUGGUGGGGCGAUGGCCUGCCAAGGCUUUGACGGGUAGCCGGCCUGAGAGGGUGGGCGGUCACACUGGGACUGAGACACGGCCCAGACUCCUACGGGAGGCAGCAGUGGGGAAUAUUGCACAAUGGGCGCAAGCCUGAUGCAGCGACGCCGCGUGAGGGAUGGAGGCCUUCGGGUUGUGAACCUCUUUCGCCAGUGAAGAAGGUCCUGCUCUUUGUGGUGGGGUUGACGGUAGCUGGGUUAAUGAAGCGCCGGCUAACUACGUG
rnacentral:rRNA from 1 species